rnacentral:rRNA from 1 species
AACGUUACNNNNNNNNUGCCUCGGCGGGAUCUUCUGCCCCGGGUGCGUCGCAGCCCCGGACCAAGGCGCCCGCCGGAGGAAUCAACCAAAACUCUUAUUGUAUACCCCCUCGCGGGUUUUUUUUAUAAUCUGAGCCUUCUCGGCGCCUCUCGUAGGCGUUUCGAAAAUGAAUCAAAACUUUCAACAACGGAUCUCUUGGUUCUGGCAUCGAUGAAGAACGCAGCGAAAUGCGAUAAGUAAUGUGAAUUGCAGAAUUCAGUGAAUCAUCGAAUCUUUGAACGCACAUUGCGCCCGCCAGUAUUCUGGCGGGCAUGCCUGUCCGAGCGUCAUUUCAACCCUCGAACCCCUCCGGGGGGUCGGCGUUGGGGAUCGGCCUUCCUUCACGGGGGCCGUCUCCGAAAUACAGUGGCGGUCUCGCCGCAGCCUCUCCUGCGCAGUAGUUUGCACACUCGCAUCGGGAGCGCGGCGCGUCCACAGCCGUUAAACACCCAACUUUCUGAAAUGUUGACCUCGGAUCAGGUAGGAAUACCCGCUGAACUUA